rnacentral:lncRNA from 1 species
AGGCCAAUAAAAACAAAAGGACUCCCACAGGACCUGAGACUGAACCCGAAGGUGAACCUGAGCAAACUCCCCAAGCGUCAGCAGGAGGGGAAAAUCUGAACAUCACAGUUCAGGCGAUAGCAGAGGCUAUCCGACUCAUUACUGAAAAACCUUCGGAAGAACAGCCUCAAAGGGAGAGACCCACAAGCAGCAAGGAACCAAGGGCUGCUGCAUCAGGAUCCACUCAUGGGUUCAU